rfam:Triticum aestivum genome assembly, contig: Triticum_aestivum_CS42_TGACv1_scaffold_252287_3DL
GUAGUACUCCCUCCGUCCAGAAAUACUUGUCAUCAAAAUGAAUAAAAGGGGAUGUAUCUAGAUGUAUAUUAGUACUAGAUACAUCUUUUUUAUCCAUUUUGAUGACAAGUAUUUUUGGACGGAGGGAGUACUUG